rnacentral:rRNA from 1 species
UACGUAGGGAGCAAGCGUUGUCCGGAAUCAUUGGGCGUAAAGCGCGCGUAGGUGGCUUCGUAAGUCCGUUGUGAAAGUCAAAGGCUCAACCUUUGAAAGCCGAUGGAUACUGCGGAGCUAGAGUACGGAAGAGGCGAGUGGAAUUCCUGGUGUAGCGGUGGAAUGCGCAGAUAUCAGGAGGAACACCAAUAGCGAAGGCAGCACUCUGGGACGUGACUGACGCUGAGACGCGAAAGCGUGGGGAGCAAACAGG